rnacentral:lncRNA from 1 species
GUUUAUAGACCCCUGCAUUUAAACCAUCUGGGACUUCAGGUUUUAAACACGAGCUGGCUGAAUCUUCUUGCUUGGUACCCUGCAAUAAAUGUAUACAUGGGAGACACCCAGGGACAAAUGAGGAACUCUCAAAGAGAUAGUUUAGAAUUCAAGCAUAAAUACUAUCUUCAGCUAAAGACAAAACAGAGAAUGGUGUCAGGGAGGACGAGGUAACUAGGAAAAGUACAGUAAAGAAGAGUAAGUUUUGUAAUGCAGAUGUAAGUCAAUACCUUCCCCACUGCUAAGAGCCUCUAGUGAUUUACCCAUCUUUCUCUUUCUUAUACAGAGAGGGAGACACACUUAAAAAAUUGAGAUUUACUUUAUAAAUGCAAAUUUCCCAUAGAAAAGGGUUUACUUCUCCUUUAUUUUCAGAGCUUCUCCUGUGUCUGCUGUUUCUCAAAAUAAUUCUGCUAAAGAGGCAUAUUUUGGGGUGUCAUAUUCUGGUCUCCUAUAUCAUUCACGCUAAAUCAUGGGGCAGGAUGAUUUUCCGUUAAAGCUGAAUACCAGGGAAGGCUUUUUAAAAUUUCAAAUGCUUGUGCUUCUGAACAUCAAGAGGCAAUCUGUGAAGAGAUUCAAAGCAAGAAAGAAGACAGGAAACAUAAGAACAAAGCUUCUUGUUUCCCCAUCACCAAGUCUAGUUAAAAUUUUCCAGUUGAAGGGAGACCAAGGAACUAAGAUGAGAUAAGAUGUUCAUGGGGCUGAGGGACAAUGUGCUGCAGACUUGAAGGAACCAUGCAGAAUGAAGUGUCACUCUUUGGCUUUGCUGCACUGGAUUAGCAGACCCCGGUUUGGUUUUGUUGGGUACAGGCCCCCAAAUCUGGCCAUAAACUGGCCCCAAAACUGGCCAUAAACAAAAUCUCUGCAGCACUGUGAUAUGCUCGUGAUGGCCUUGACGCCCAUGCUGGAAGGUUGUCGGUUUACUGGAAUAAAGGUAAGGAACACGUGGCCCACCCAGGGAGGAAAACCGCUUAAGGCGUUCUUAAACCACAAACAAUAGCAUGAGUGAUCUGUGCCUUAAGGACAUGUUCAUGCUGCAGGUAACUAGCCAGAGCCCAUCCUUUUAUUCAGCCCAUCCCUUUAUUUCCCAUAAGGAAUACCUUUAGUAAAUCUUAUUAUGACUGGCUUGCUGUCAAUAAAUAUGUGGGUAAAUCUCUGUUCGGGGCUCUCAGCUCCGAAGGCUGUGAGAGUCCCUGAUUUCCCACUCGACACUCUAUAUUUCUGUGUGUGUGUCUUUAAUUCCUGUAGCAUUGCUGGGUUAGGGCCUCCCCAAUUGAGCUGGUCUUGGCAGGUUUGAUAAUACAACCUUUACCACAACCUCAAGGAAGUUCCAAGUCUCUCUCUUUAGGUACCAUCACCAGACCUCACACCUGAGACAAGAGCAACAAUAUUCUAAAGUUAGGAGGCAGCAACUUUACAGUUGGUGUUCAACAACCAGAAUUUAGUAAAUUAGUACCUGGACAUUGUUUCAGAAACAAGCUUCAAAUGCCAUUGUAAAAGAUCUGGAUGUCUGAGCUAGCUGGAUUCUAUUCACCUGAAGAUGGAAGGGAUCUUCACAAUAUUUUUAGUCCAUCCACAUAUUGCUAUAGUUUGGAUUUUUGUCCCCCAAACCUUAUGAUAAAAUUUGAUCCCCAAUGUCAGAGGUGGGGCCUAAUGGAAGUGUUUGGAUGAUGGGGGCAGACCUGUCAUUAAUGGCUUGGUGCCAUCUUCAUGAUAAUGAGUGAUUUAUUACUCUAUUAGUUCCAGUAGGGAGCUGGUUGUUUAUUUUAAAAAAAGGGAUGGAAAUGCCCCUCUCACUUGCUUCCUCUCUUACCUUGUGAUCUCUGCACAUGCCAGCUUGCCUUCACCUUCUGCCAUGGGUAGAAGUAGCCUGAGGCUUCACAAGAAGCAAAUACUGGCACUAUCCUUCUUGUACAGCCUGCAGAACUGUGAGCCAAAUAAACCUCUUUUCUUUAUAAAUUACCCAUUCUCAGGUACUCCUUUAUAACAACACUAACGUGGACUAAGACAUACACCUUGAACACCAGUAAUUUCAACAAUGAGCACUUAUUUGCAUAUCCAUCAUGAUAAUUGACAAAACCUCCACUAUUGAUAUAUAAAGGUAGGUGAAAUGCUUGUAGUUACAGUCUCUGAAGUGUGACUUUUAAUAUACUAACUCACCAUCCAUAGAGUAAUUUUUGAGAUUGGGCAGCCAUGCAUCCUAGUAAUGUGCAUUAAAGCCAUCAUACACACACAUAUAUAUCAAAUGCAUGUGCUAUACUAUUUGAAAGUAAGUUAUAGACUAUAAUUUAUUAACUGAGGUCCUGUGUGGGUAACCUGCUUUUCAGUUUCCCAGAGCACUCAGAAGCCCUUCAAGUUAGAGGGUGGAGCACUGGAUAUCUAGAAGGAUAAUGGUGAUGAUAUUUAGGUGAAAUCUUCCCAGGUCCUCAAACUUCACAGUUGAACAUGUUGGGAACUGAAUGCAAUCAGAAGAAAAUCUCCUCCAAAACCAGGAAAGAAGUAUAUUAUCUUCCAUUCUUUCUGGUCAGGGAACAGACCCUACAUUUGGGACAGAGCUCGAUUUGUUGGAAUAUUUUUUCACUAUAGCUCCCCUAUGGACUACGCUGAGUCAUGCUUUCUGCAACAAAUGUCUCCAUUGUUGGCACAAUGGUCCAAGAAAAAGCUGUUAAUGUGGCCAUACCUUGUGGUUUUGUUUUAUGAGACACGUAAUCGUGUUAAUUUGUUUUAUGAGACAGGUAAUUGUGUUAAUAUACAGAUAUUGUGUUAGAAAAUUAAACCAUUCAUAUACAAGUAUUGUAAGAAAUUAAACUAUUUAUGUUAUAUAUUUUCACUAAUUGAUGUUAAAUGUGGUUUCUUAAAAUGUUAAUAUGAAAUUAAUAACUUAAAUAUAGAACAUUCAAAAUUUUAUAAGGCAACAAUAUAGAAGUGAUUAAGUAAAAAGAUUAUAUGUCUUACAUAUGCAUCUGUUGGGGCUCAGAAAAUGAUAUCCCCCAAAUUAAAGUAUCAGAAGCAGUCUCAGAAUCAAAGUUUCUCUCUGACCUUCUGCCUUCCUAUCUCUCAGCCUCAUUCUCUUCCAAGACAAAUCAUAGAAACCAGAAUCUCUUUUCCCCAAAGUCAGCUAUGAAGUUUAAAAUUGUUACUCUAACUCUCCCCACCCACUUCCUUCCAUGUAGGAAAUGGCCAUAAAGAAGGUGUUUCAUCUACCUUGUUUGAUUAUGAGUCAUAACACCCCUAUUCCAGAAUUCUGCCCUAUGACAGAAGGAAAUGAAUUUCCUCCAAUCAGUCUAUUACUAUUAGAUCAUACAUUUUAUUGGCCAAUCACAUUUCUACUCAGCUGUCCCUGCUUCACAGAAGCUAAAUAUAAAAUAAGAUAGUUUUCCCUGUGUAUUAGUCAGGAUUCUCCAGAGGAACAGAACUAAUAGGAUAUAUGUACAUGGGAAAGGGAGUUUAUUAAUGAGAAUUGACUCACACCAUCACAAGGUGAAGUCUCAUGAUAGGUCAUCUGCAAGCUGAGGAGAAAGAAAGCCAGUAGUGGCUUAGUCCAAGUCCCAAAGCCUAAACAGUAGGGAAGUCGACAUGACAAUGCAACCUUCAGUCUGUGGCCGAAGGCCUGAGAGCCCCUGGCAAACCACUGGUGUAAGUCCAAAGGCCAAAGAACCUGGAGACUGAUGUUCAAGGGUAGGAAGCAUCCAGCACAGGAGAAAAAUGAAAGCUGGAAGACUCAGCAAGCCAGCUUAUUCCACUCUCUUCCACCUGCUUUUUCUAGCCACACUGGCGGCCAGUUGGAUGGUGCCCACCUACAUAAAGGGUGGGUCUUCCUCUCCUAGUCCACUAAUUCAAAUGUUAAUCUCCUCUGGCAACACCCUCACAGACAAACCCAGAAACAAUACUUUGCGUCCUUCAAUCCAAUCAAGCUGACACUUAAUAUUAACCAUUAUACCCUAUAUCAUUUGGUCAUUUAACCUGGAGCCUCCUGUGUCAUGUAAAACUUAGAUUAAAUAAAUCUGUUAUGCUUUUCUCUUGUUAACUUGUCCUUUGUAAUAGGGGUGUUGGCUAUUACUUUUAACAUCCUCAGGAAAUGCAUCACACCUUUCUGUUCCUACAUAUCUAUGCUUGUUAUUUUAUCGUUUCUGUAUUUCUGUGUGCUAGAUUGCUUCCCAUUUCCCUUUUUCCACCAUCGUGAAUAAUGCUGCAAUUAAUAUUUUCAUAUAAGUUUGCUAUGUUUUAUUUUUCCUUAAGAUAUACUAUAAGAGAUUAUGAGUAUUUUUAUGAUACUUACGGUCUCUGGCCAAAUUAUUUCUCAAAAGUGUUGUAUCCAUUUUGAUUCCCACCAACAACACGUAAGACAAGACAUAUAUUUCACAGAACAUUCACUAGCUUUACAUAUUAGCAUUUUUAAAUUGUAAUAGUCCACAAUUAUGCCUCACUAAUGUUAUUAUUUGUAUCUCUUUUAUUCAUAGAAGGUUGAGUUUUUUCAUAUACUUGUUUAGAAAUUAUAUUUCUGGGCUGGGAAUUAUAUGUAAUUUCCUGUAGGAGAGAACAGGUAGUACCUUAUUGUCACCCAUUGCAAGAUUACUGGCUAAGAUCCCUAUAGCAAAAAAGCAGAUUAACAAGAGAAAAGCAUAACAUUUUUAUUUAGUAUAAGUUUUACAUGACACAAGAGCCUUCACAAAUGAAGACGUAAAAACCCACAGAAAUCUAUGUAUUUUUGUAGAAAGUUGUGCAGAAGCGUGGCUGGAGGACAAAGGAGUGUGAUCUAAUGGUAAUAAACAGGGGAGAACUCAGCCAGACCUGUUUGUUUAGAGUCUUACUGGCUUCCCGGUAUAGGGCAGGGCCCCUCUGGAAUAAAAGUCUUAUGUCCUACUUUCAAGGGAGGUAGUGUAGGGAAUUCUUUUACGGCCUGCUUCAGAGGAGAAAGGCAAGAGAAGAUCAGCGAGGACCUUCCUGUUUCUGCGGAGCGUUUUUGUCAAUUUCCUUCAGCUUAAAACACUCAUCAUGCCAAGGUGACAUAUUGCCAAUGGGUAUUGUGUUCUGAGCCCUGACAAUCCUUUAUAUAUUUGUCUAUGACACUGAAGUGAUUUUAUGAAUUAUAAUAUUUGCCAGAAAUAAUUUCCCACUGUAUAGGGGAAAAAUUUAUUUUACCCAUCACUAGCUUCACUGCUGAAGUCUCUGUAACAACAGACAGAUUGACAAGAAAAACGCAUGCAAAU